rnacentral:rRNA from 1 species
UACGUAGGGGGCAAGCGUUGUCCGGAAUCAUUGGGCGUAAAGAGCGUGUAGGCGGCCCGAUAAGUCCGCUGUGAAAGUCCAGGGCUCAACCCUGGAAUGCCGGUGGAUACUGUCGGGCUCGAAUCCGGAAGAGGUGAGUGGAAUUCCUGGUGUAGCGGUGAAAUGCGUAGAGAUGUGGAGGAACACCGAUGGCGAAGGCAGCCCCCUGGGCUGAGAUUGACGCUCAGGCGCGACAGCGUGGGGAUCAAACAGG